rnacentral:rRNA from 1 species
CCUACGGGAGGCAGCAGUGGGGAAUAUUGCACAAUGGGGGAAACCCUGAUGCAGCGACGCCGCGUGAGUGAAGAAGUAAUUCGUUAUGUAAAGCUCUAUUAGCAGGGAAGAAAAUGACGGUACCUGUGUAAGAAGCCCCGGCUAAAUACGUGCCAGCAGCCGCGGUAAUACGGAGGGGGCAAGCGUUAUCCGGAUUUACUGGGUGUAAAGGGAGCGUAGACGGCAGUGCAAGUCUGGAGUGAAAGGCGGGGGCUCAACCCGCGGACUGCUCUGGAAACUGUACGGCUGGAGUGCAGGAGAGGUAAGUGGAAUGUCUGGUGUAGCGGUGAAAUGCGUAGAUAUUAGGAGGAACACCAGUGGCGAAGGCGGCUUACUGGACUGUAACUGACGUUGAGGCUCGAAAGCGUGGGGAGCAAACAGGAUUAGAUACCCUAGUAGUC